ensembl:lncRNA
UAUCCCCUGCUUUACUCCACACUGGUGUUUGAGUGGAAAAAAUGCACUGUGUCAGGGAGCAAAGAGUGAUAAAAAGCAGAAGGCUUCAAAGCCAGCCAGAUUGUUGAUGGAAUGUUUUCCUCCUAGAUGAACAUGAGAACAUUGUACCUACAGAAGGGUUGCCCCAGGAGCCAGCUAGCAGCAUGGGGGUGGAAGCUCCACAUGUUAAACACAGUCUGCAGCUAUGUUGCUCCCAGACCCUUUGACGCUGCUGCUGGGUGACAGAGAAACAAGCCUUCAUCAGAUGACAAGUAGUCUGCAGGCUGUAGAACUAGUGAAGGGAAACUCCCCUACAAAAAUCAAGCCAGAUCUUUGUGGACAAGAAGCACCGCAUGCACAUCUGCUGAAGUGCACGGCUCCAUCUGUUAGCAGUCCUGGCAGAGGGGUCACGAGUUGGAAGUCCAGAAGGAUUUGGUGAUCAUCUCCCUUUUGUGAAGGCAGUCCAGUCCAGUCAGGUGAUGUUUGGGUUAUCCGAAAUUACUUCAUCUAUUGAAU